rnacentral:misc_RNA from 1 species
GAGCAGCCUUUUGCUAUUGGAGGUUUAUAUUUCCCUUCUCUAUUCUUGAAUUAGAGCCUUAAGUCUUAGCCCACAUAAAGCUUAAAGUUUCAUACGUGUAUGAGGCCCUUUAUGAAUGAGAGAUGGUGCGUUUUAAUUUGAUGUUGUAGGUUAAUUACAAUUGACAUUCGCUGUACUUUUUUUUUUUUAUUGGUUGCAAAGUUGUUGUUUGGAGUUCAUCCUAAUGAGUAAAAUAUGAUUUGGAUCCAGAAUCGCUUGGCGUAGGAUUGAAUUGGGGCAACUUGAAAUUUAUCGGCCCUGGUUCUCUCCGAAUAUGUAGCCCUAAACCUGGUGUAUAGGGGGAAACAGAUCCAUAUAGCAGAUCUCACUGCUUGUGAAUUUAGGCUGUGUUUGGUUUUAAUGUGCUCCUUUUUAGGGGUGAGUAGAAUUCGUUUCAAACUGAAAAAACCUACCAAACUGAUUUAAUUUGGAAAUUUGGUUCAGUUUUUUAAAUAAUCUGGUUCAUUUCGGUUUUUAAUUUUAUAAUUUUUAGUUUAUUUAGUUUAGUUUUGAAAGAAAAAAUUGCAGAAAAAAUGAAUCUAUUUAGAUAAAAUUAGUGGACUUUGUAGUGUAUGGACUAUGGACUACUUAUAGCCUAGUGGUUGACAAAGGUAAUGUAAAAACUGCGGGUACUAAGAUUGAUUCCGCCCAUCAACAAAUUUUUUUUGUUCUAUCUUUUUAGAACUACCACUACUCUCAACCAUCCAUUUCAUAUGAUCUAAACUGUUUAAGUUACAAUAUAUAUGCAUCUUUAUUUCGCUAACCCUAGCCUCCCUUCACUUCUCAUUUCCUCCCUUCAGACUCUUCUCUUUUCUACUAUCUUCUCUUCCCUAUGCAAAGGGGAAAAAAAACCCUUAGAAUUAUUCUCCUCUGCCAUAUCCUCUGUUUUUCUUUGUGCAAUCCCACGGCCUAUCUUCCCUGUCCAAAGAAAGCACACAAAAAAUCCCAAUUCUUGUAGCUUGUAAAUGCUGGUUUUUUUUUUUUUUCUUAUUGAGUUUACUGCUUUUUUGUUCUUUGGAAGUUUCUGUGGUUUCUUUUGGAUAUUGCUUUUUUAUUCACUCAACUCAACUAAGAUUUUAUUCCAAUAAUUUGGGGUCAGUUAUGUGGAUUCUCUUUCUCCACUC